rnacentral:rRNA from 1 species
UAAGGAAUAUUGGUCAAUGGACGCAAGUCUGAACCAGCCAUGCCGCGUGAAGGAUGAAGGCCCUCUGGAUUGUAAACUUCUUUUAUCUGGGACGAAAACGGGAUUUUUAUCUCAAUUGACGGUACCAGAGGAAUAAGCACCGGCUAACUCCGUGCCAGCAGCCGCGGUAAUACGGAGGGUGCGAGCGUUAUCCGGAUUUACUGGGUUUAAAGGGUGCGUAGGUGGGCUUAUAAGUCAGUGGUGAAAUCUCCGAGCUUAACUUGGAAACUGCCGUUGAUACUAUAGGUCUUGAAUUAUCUGGAGGUAAGCGGAAUAUGUCAUGUAGCGGUGAAAUGCUUAGAUAUGACAUAGAGCACCAAUUGCGAAGGCAGCUUACUACAUAUAAAUUGACGCUGAGGCACGAAAGCGUGGGGAUCAAACA